rnacentral:rRNA from 1 species
UACGUAGGGACCGAGCGUUGUCCGGAAUCAUUGGGCGUAAAGAGCGUGUAGGCGGCCACUUAAGUCCUGCGUGAAAUCUUGCGGCUCAACCGCAAGCGGUCGUGGGAAACUGGGUGGCUAGAGUGCGGGAGAGGAGAGCGGAACUCCUGGUGUAGCGGUGGAAUGCGCAGAUAUCAGGAAGAACACCGGUGGCGAAGGCGGCUCUCUGGGCCUUACCUGACGCUGAGGAGCGAAAGCGUGGGUAGCGAACAGG